UGGGGAAUAUUGCACAAUGGGCGCAAGCCUGAUGCAGCCAUGCCGCGUGUGUGAAGAAGGCCUUCGGGUUGUAAAGCACUUUCAGCGGGGAGGAAGGAGUUAAGGUUAAUAACCUUGGCGAUUGACGUUACCCGCAGAAGAAGCACCGGCUAACUCCGUGCCAGCAGCCGUGGUAAUACGGAGGGUGCAAGCGUUAAUCGGAAGUACUGGGCGUAAAGCGCACGCAGGCGGUCUGUCAAGUCGGAUGUGAAAUCCCCGGGCUCAACCUGGGAACUGCAUUCGAAACUGGCAGGCUAGAGUCUUGUAGAGGGGGGUAGAAUUCCAGGUGUAGCGGUGAAAUGCGUAGAGAUCUGGAGGAAUACCGGUGGCGAAGACGGCCCCCUGGACAAAGACUGACGCUCAGGUGCGAAAGCGUGGGGAGCAAACAGG
rnacentral:rRNA from 1 species